rnacentral:lncRNA from 1 species
GGGAGCCUCCUGAUCUGUGAACCCGCGCUGGCGGGAGUAGCUACUGACCGCUGGGGACCCCUGCCCAGGCUGCUCCCAUGUGGAAAGGAUUCAGGGAGCAGGCGAUGCUUAGCCGAAAGCGUGGAGACCAGCGCUGCUCUCUCCCCAGCGACAGAUUUCAUGAGGCCCCUUGCCCAGAAUGUCCACGUUUGAAACCUCCCAACACCAAGCCCCAUUUCAAGUAUAACCAGGAGGGAAAAUGGUGCUUGAAAUAAGCAUGCCGCAAAGGAACACCUGCUUUCUCUAAAUGGGCUCUGGCCGCCCAGGCCCUGACCUCCCUGGCCAGGAUGGAACGUUCCAGAGACCUAUUAGUGCCAAAGGCAAAUUAAAACACACCCUGUGAAAAUGUC